GGCCAAGCCUUCUUCUUCUUCCCCCAACUAAUUUCCGCUGUGCGCGCUGGUGGUCAAGAUCCGCUCAGCUGCGCAACUGAAUCGCGCCAGGAUCCACCGAAGUCCCUCGCUCACGCGGCCAACGGAUGGAUGGGGCUGGCCGCUGGCGGGACCCACUGCCUAGCUUCACGUUACUCCUCCUACCAGACGCGCGCGCAGUGGACGGAGAGAUCCGUGGGGUGCGGAUCCCUUGCAGUCCGGAGGGGAAUUGACCACUCGUUCGCUGCGCAUAAAAGAGGAGCGAUCAUGGCCCUGGAACUCACCGCCCUAGUCAACCAGAAGUAAGGCAGCGCGUUCGCCCAUGGUGUGUCGUGGCCAUUGGAGAGAGAGGGUGAGCGCAGGAAACCAACAGGGGAGAUCUGGAGCCGCACUCGAGGAGAGAGAAAGGGGGAGUUCGUCGGAUCAUGUGGAGCGAAGGUCGCGGCACCAGGGCCUGCUAGAGAGGUUCGCUGAUGAGCAUAGAAGUUCAUCGGGGUAUUGGGUUUGUUUCCUAUGGAGUCCGUGGUUCGCCGCUGGGCAGCUGCAAGCCGAGCUCGUCGCCGUCGCGUUCGGAUCCUACCUUGGCUGACGGUCCGGCCUCGGGAGGAGGGCGAGGGACUACCGGUGUGCAGCAAACCUAGAGGUAACUCCCGGGAGCGAGGUGAUGGGCGGACUCGUCCGAAUUUGCUCGUCGGUCUGAUGCGGUGGCCACGGAUCCGCCAUCUGACGUGGUCAACCACGUCGUCGACUCCAUAGCCGCGCGAGGUUUCGAGGAUCUGAAGAAUCAUCCUAGUACAUGGAAUCUCAAGUGCCAGGUAAGUUGUGCCCUUGAUCACUUUCAUUUACCCAAUGUUCUUUAUUAUCACUUAUCAAUGCAUAGGUUUAAUUUUGAUGGGACCUAAUAGGUCACCCUAGACUGGUUAUCCUUUUUACCUUGUUUAUCCCUAAAUCAAUUGGGUAGCUAUGUUAUUGCUUUAUAUGGUUUUGGGUUAAUAUUUCAUUAUAUCCAUGUUCCUAUUAUUUUGUUAUGUUAUUUAUGUUCAUGAUAAGAUCAUUAUGUUAAUGGGAACUGUUGGGACCAUGCUUCGUCGCCGAAGGUCCUACAAAAAGAAACAGCUUCAGCUGAAGCUGCUUGAACAUGAUGCCGAAGACACCGUUCACGAAGCUUCGGAACUACAGCAUAUCCGAAGACGAAGGGUCGAACCGACUUAAAGAUAAAAUGACCUUUUAGCCUUCAAAGGUCUGAUUCAUUGUUGUAAACUUUUAUGAGGGGCAUAAUUGUAAUUCCUCAUGAGCUGUGUCCUGUGCCUAUAAAUAGUGAACAGUAUUCCUUUACUGUUCACACAUUCCUGUAAUUGCUAACGCAUCACUCGGGAAUUAUUGUUUGUCAAGGCAAAUGUAUAAAUGUACUUAAACGUUGUAUUCAAAUAUCUUAAAUUCAUAUAAUAAUAUAUGUGAAUGAGGUCAUUUGUUUUCAAA